GGAACUAGCCGGACUGAGAGGUGUGAGUAGAGGACCCGGGAGACUGGGAGCCAGGUGAGGGGGGUGGAUAUGAGGAAAGUGGGGCCCGCCGCGAAGAAGAGGGAAUGGCAGGGCUUGGGUCUGGGGCUGAGGAGGCUGGAGGAAGGUGUGGGCAGAUGGCGUUGCAGAGACCUCUCACACUACCCUCACUGCCGAUCUGGACUCAAGGCCCAGCGGCCAAUUAAUGCUGAAUUGGAAGCUGAGAAGGAAGGGAUGUUUUAUUUUUCAUGCCCCUAAGAAAGUGAAGUGGCAGUACCUGAUUCGAAAUACCUUGUGACCUAAGUCUUAAUCUCUGUCCCAACUGCUGGGAGGUAGCUGGGCGACCAUUCUGAAGAUGAGACGGGGGCACUUUUUUCUUGCCGCCCGUUUGAAUCAGCUACAGGGCUGGGGGAUCAGCGUGUUAAGAGAUGAUGCCACAUCAAUGGCGUUUUGGUAGCCUGGCAAUUGAUUUUUCCCAGACUUGCAUUUUGUUUAACUGCAAAGGCAGAGGCAUUAUCCAAAUAUUUUAAAAUUCAAACCGUAUUGAAGUGUUUAAAGUUAAAAAAAAAGGGUGCGAGAGUAUUCCCCACCCCCACCCCAGGUAUUUUUGAAGGUAGGAAACAGCUAUAAAGGAAAACGAAAAGGAAUCCUCCAGAAGAGAAGUUCACCCUUGUAACCCCCUGUUUUCUUUUUAAUUUUUUUUAGAUUUGUUUUUUAUUGAGGUAGCAUUGGUUUAUAAUACUGUGUUUCAUGUGUACAGUGUUGUAUUUCUACUUAUAUAUGCCCUACAGUGUAUUCACCACCAGAAGACACCAUACGGUAUUUGUCUUUCUCCAUCUGACUUAAUUUGACAACAUAAUACCUUCAAGAUCCAUCCGUGUUGGCAUGGCAGGAUUCUGUCUCUUUUUAAUGGCUCAGUAUUCCAUUGUAUAUAGACACCUAACUUCUUUAUCUAUAAUCUGUUGAUGGGCAUUUGGGUUGUCUCCAUAUCUUGGAUAUUGUCAGUAAUGCUGUGAUGAACAUAGGGUUGCAUAUAUCUUUUUAAAUUAGUGUUUUCAUGUUCUUUGGAUAAAUACCCAGGAGUGAGAUAGCUGAAUCUUAAUCUUUUUUUGUUUGUUUUUUAGUUUUUUUUUUUUUUUGUCUUUAGGGCCACACCCAGGGCAGACAGAGGUUCACAGGCUAGGGAUCCAAUCAGAGCUGUAGCUGCCGGCCUACGCUACAGCCACAGCAACUGGUAUCCGAGCCGAGUCUGCGACCUAUACCACACACAGCUCAUGGCAACCCCAGAUCCUUAACCCACUGACUGAGCAAGGCCAGGGAUCUAACCCUUGAUCCUCCUGGAUACUAGUUGGAUUCGUUAACCACUGAGCCACGACGGAAACUCCAUGUAUUCUUAAUCUUUUGAAGAAUCUCCAUACUUGCCCAUAGUGGCUGCACCAAUUUACAUGCCCACCAACAAUGUAUGAGAGUUCCCUUUUCUCCACACUCUCACCAACACUUUGUAACCCAUUGUUUUCUGCUGUUCCAAGGGCUUGAAAGUGAAAAUCAGGAGAUGGGUGAGAUAUCCAUCUCCCACCAGCAGUGCUAGGGCCAUGUUACCCUCCAAGGAAUCCACAUUUGUACUGGACAGUAAGUCAGCUGGUUAAUGGCUGUUACUGUUCUCACACGUGAUCCACUGAUGGGCAGUGUAUUUUUAAUCCAAUAGGCUACAUAUACAGGGGUCAGUGCCUUAAUAUAUCAGUUUUCUCUGAGAGCUGAGUGAAAGGGUAAGUAGAACAAACCAUUAAAUAGAUGAAAAAUGCACCACAAGUACCUCUAAAAAGUUCUGGACAAACCCUUUCUAAAGAAAGACCUCAAAGCAGAGUAUGGAGGGGAAAAAAUUGGCCCUACGUUUCCUCUCAUUGUCAGCUGCUAAACAGGGUAUUCAAAUUUAGACAGAUAAUUUUAUUCCAAGUUCAGCCUACCUGCAGUUUUAAAUGCCUCAGACUUUAGGUAAAUGGACUUACUCUACCAGGUUCACUAGACCCUCACUUCUCAGAAAAGUUUUGAAAAAGCCCUAGAUGUUAAAUAAAAAUGUUGUUUUUACUUUUUUAUCAAAUCUUACUAAUUUAGCCAUUCCAAUAAGGGAUAUAGGAAUUCCUUUGUGGCACAGUGGGUUGAGGAUCUAGCGCCGUGGCUCCUUAUGGCAUGGGAUUGACCCCUGGCCUGGAAACUUCCACCUGCCAUGGGUGUGGCCAUGAAAAAGGAAAUAAUCACAAGUAUUAUUCCCACACUGAAUUAACAAGAUAAAGUGACUGGAUGCUCACUCCUUCAACACCACAGCUCUCUGUACUAUAUUCAGCAUUUCCCUUCCACACUCAGCAUGAAAAUGUAUAGUUUGGUUAGUUAUAAAGUGAUGAAAUUCGUCCUUAUAAGAGCUUAGGGAUAUUCAUCUCAUUACUUUAAAGCCAUACCUUAUAUGGAACCCAGUGUAUCAUGAACUUUUUAAGUAUGGAGGACUGAAGGGCAAUGUUUCUGAUGAUGGCAGCUUCAACUACCAUUUGCCCUGUAUUCUAGGUCUUAGAGUUGGUCCAAGUCUUACAGGUAAUUUGUGUCAUAUCCAAAACAGCAGCAAUUAAACUUACCUCAUUAUCAUACUGAGGGCAGUACCAUCAGCUCAGUCAACCAAGCAGGAAGCCUGAGUCAUCUCUAAUGCCACUUUCCUAAGUGGCUUUCCACUUCCAUAGGUAAAUGAAGCUCAGACCAUCAUCAUCUCUUAUCUAGAAAAUUGCCAAGAGUCUCCUAAUUGGUCAUCACAACCUCUGAUCUCAAUUCAUGUACCCCCUGCUACCAAUUAUCUUUUUAAAAAUUAAAAAUUAUCUCAAAAAUUUCAGAAAUAGUGAAUAUUACAUUGGAUUUUAUAAUAAAUUAACAUACUAACAUUUUGGCACAUCUGCUUAAUUUUUUUAUGAAACAACUUUUUUUUUUGCCACACCUGCAGCAUAUGAAAUUUCCCAGGCCAGGGAUUGAACCUAUACCACAGCAGCAACUGGAAAUGCUGCAGUGACAACACCAGAUCCUAAAGCCACUGCCCUUCGAAAGAACUAGCAUUUCUCUAAUAUCAUCAGAUAUCCAGAUAGUGUUCAGAUUUCCCCAGUCAUCUCAUAAAAGAUCUUGUGUAGUGGUUUGUUUGAAUCAGGACCCACCCAAGACCCAUAUUAUUACAUUUGGUUGAUGUCUCUUUAGACUUUAUUUGAAGUAAACUCUUUUGGGAAAAAAAAGUUUAACACAUACAGAAAAAUACGCAAAUCAGAAGUAUACAACUAAAUACAAUUUAACUGAAUUAACAAAGCCAUGUAACCAACAGUCAGAUGAAGAAACAAAAUUUCAUAAGCAACCCCAGAACCCCCUUCAUGCCCCUGCCAGUCACUACUUCCUACAAGGUAACCACACUCCUGACUUCCAACCCCCAAAUUAGCUUGACCUGUUUUUUGAAUAUUAUACGUGGAAUUAUGCAGUAUGAACUCUUUUGCCUUUAGCUUUUUAUGCUCAGUAUUUGCAAAAUUCAUUCACAUUGCUGGGUAUAACUGUAGUUUGUUUGUUCUUGCUGCUUUCUAUUCCGUUGUAUAAAUGAGUAGAUUGUAUGUAUAAUACCACAUGCUAUCUAUUCAACUGAUGGAUAUUUAGGUUGUUUCCAUGUUUAGCUAUUUCACUUUUUUUUUUUUUUUUUUUUUUUUUUUUUUUGGUCUUUUUGCUAUUUCUUGGGCCGCUCCCACAGCAUAUGGAGCUUCCCAGGCUAGGGGUCGAAUCGGAGCUGUAGCCACCGGCCUACACCAGAGCCACAGCAACGCGGGAUCCGAGCCACGUCUGCAACCUACACCACAGCUCACAGCAAUGCUGGAUCGUUAACCCACUGAGCAAGGGCAGGGACCGAACCCGCAACCUCAUGGUUCCUAGUCGGAUUCGUUAACCACUGCGCCACGACGGGAACUCCUGUUUAGCUAUUUCAAAUGGGUCAGCAGUGAGCUUUUGUAGACAUCUUUUAGUGAACUUAUGUGUGCAUGUCCAUUGGGAACACACCCAGGAGAAGAAGAACUGGGUCUAGGGUUUAUGUAUAUUUGUCUUUAUUAGCUAUUGCCAAAUAGUCUCCAAAGCAGUAGUAACAGCUUACACUCACACCAGCAGGAUAUAAGAGUUCCAGUUACUCCACAUCUUUGUCAAUAUUUGGUAUUGUCUGACAUUUUCAUUUUAGCCAUUUUAGUAGGUGUCUAGAGGUACUGCAUUUUGGUUUUCAUUUCCAAUCUCCUGAUAAGUAAUGAAGUUGAGCACCUUUUCACCUAUUUAUUGGCCAUUUGUGUAUACUCUUUAUCAAGUGUUUAUUCUUAACUCUUUGAUCUAUUGAUUUCUGAGAGAGGUAUAUUAAAUUCUCAAACA
rnacentral:lncRNA from 1 species